rnacentral:lncRNA from 1 species
UAACUAGCAAAGAGACCUUGUUUCAACAUCAAAUAUGUUUCCGUAAGGCCAGAUUCUUGGGCAAAGUUGUUUUAGCGAUCUGGUUGCAACUAAGUAUUGGAGUUGUUGUGCCUUGAAGCUAGAAACUGCCUUGAAUUUCUACAUAGGGAAAUGUAAUCUAUUGCUUUCUUACAGAUUGCCAUUUGCCAGCUGACCUGUGACACAGCAGCAGUGUAUUACAUUUUCAAUGAGCAGUCUGUCUGGAGCUGCUAGUGGGAGAAACUGCUUCCUGGUUUCUAGGUAUCCUGUAAGAACAAAUUGCUGCCUCCUCCAGGUGGAAAGGGAUCAAAUAUAAUUAAUCUGUGUGUGCCACACAGUAGCUUGAUAGUUUAAUUGAGGAAUGUUGACAUAUUGAGAGCUCAGCAUUACUUUCUGCUAUCAGCAGUGACGGCAUAAGAGCUGUAUCCUAACUGCACUGCUGAAUUUGGGCUUCCUGUGGGGGCACGGCAAGUGCCCUCUUUGAGAGUGAGGAGGCUGAGAGUCUCACACCAACAGGAAUGAGUGCUUUGAAAUUAACUGGUGUUUGGAAAUUGAUCUGAAGCCAGUGCCUGGGAUUCUGAGAUGCAGCCACAUCAUAAAGUUUCAUUACUCAAUUGCAGUAGAGAAAACCUCAAAGGAACCACUUCUAAUGGAAACUGCCUCAAUUCCUGGUCAAGUCUCACAGUCUAACCUGGAGGUGCUCUGAGAUGUGACUAAGUUAAGGAUUUUGAGAUGAAGAGACCAUCCUGAAUUAUCUGAGUGGGUCCUGAAUGUCAUCACAAGAAGCCUUAGAAGAGAGAAGCAUGAAAACCAGAAGAGGAGGAAGAGGCAACCGGGCCAUGAAGACAAGAGAUUAGAGUGAUGUGGCCACAAGUCAAGAAGUGCCGGCCUCCAGCAAAAAACUGGAAGUCAGGAGCAGGAUCUCUCCUAGAGCCUGUGGAGGGAAUGUAACCCUGCCAAUAACUUGAUUUUGGCCCAGAGAAACUGACUUCAGACUUCUGGCCUUCAGGAUGGCGAGAGAAUUAAAUCGCUGUUGUUUUUAGCCCAGUAUGUGGUAAUUUUGUUACAACAGCCACAGAAAACUAGUACAGUGGAUUUUUAGCAGUAGAAUUAAAUUAGCAGUGGAUUAAAGAGCAGUAGAAUUGUGAUUUUAUCAACACUUACUGGAUGGCAGAUUUCCUCUGCAGCAGAAGAGAAUAAAAUGUUGCCUAGGUGAUGCUGACCACCAAAACUUCUGCCAUGGACUCAGCAGUGUGAACAGACCCUGGGAAUCUAUGUACACAUAAAACACCAUGAACAUUUUGCAUUUUCUGAUUUGAACUGAAUAGGCG